CUCCGGAGCUGUACGACUUUGCAAGAUGAUCCCAUCAGCUCUCGCAAGCUAAACAAGAUUGGGUCAUGUUAGUGCUUGGAUGGGAGACCUAGUAAGAAAAUCCAAAGUACUGCAGA
rnacentral:rRNA from 1 species